UGAUGUGGAUUAAUUCGAUGCAACGCGAAGAACCUUUACCAGGGUUUGACAUGCUUAAAGUAGAAACUCGAAAGAGGGACGACCUGUAUCCAGUCAGGAGUUUGCACAGGUGCUGCAUGGCUGUCGUCAGCUCGUGCCGUGAGGUGUUAGGUUAAGUCCUGCAACGAGCGCAACCCUCGUCGCUAGUUAUUUUCUCUAGCGAUACUGCCCGUAUAACGCGGAGGAAGGUGGGGAUGACGUCAAGUCAGCAUGGCCCUUACAUCCUGGGCUACACACACGCUACAAUGGGUGAUACAGUUGGUUGCAAUAGAGCGAUCUGGAGCCAAUCCUAAAAAUCAUCCUCAGUUCGGAUUGCAGGCUGCAACUGCCUGCAUGAAGUUGGAGUUGCUAGUAAACGCAGGUCAGCACACUGCGUUGAAUACGUUCCCGGGUCUU
rnacentral:rRNA from 1 species